GAAACUUAUUGCGGGAGCUUGGGUAAGCCAGGCUGAGAGGAAGACCGGCACGUCUUCGACCGUCCGAACCUGAUACCAGAUAAUACUGGCGAAGGGAAAGAUGCACUUCUUUAG
rnacentral:ncRNA from 2 species